rnacentral:sRNA from 1 species
AAGAAAUCCGUGUCGAUGGCGGGGAAGCUGAACGUAGGCGUCGAAUAAAAAACUAUUGGGCCUAUUGUAUCGAAAAGUAAUCCAAGCUGAGGCAAUGAAGAUUACGACAAAGACCACAUGGCGGGUGUGACCGGUCAGCAGAGAAUGCUAACUCCUCCUAAUCAACUGAUGCUACCUUCAAUGUAAUGGCUCAAGACGCCGUUAGGACGGACAAGUUUCACGAUGGCGAACAAACAACAAACAACAUGACAAUCAGCGAUAUAAACAUGGAUGUUGCAUGUAGAUUUCAGCAAAUUGACACUUAUUCUUGAAGAAAAUUGUGUAAGCAAUUUGGUGUGUCAUGGCAUCGUGACGUGUUUGUUGUGACUAAAAAUCUAGUAUUUGCCUUGUACAUGUUUGAACAUUCAGAAUUUCAUUAACAUGGUCAAUAGAGGGUUAGGAUGUAUACAGUCGUUCAGGGAACAAACAAAUAUUUAAUGCAAAAAAAAACCAUGACACUACAAAUGAACCUAUUUCAAUGUUAAUUCAGUAUUAAGAAUUGUAGAAAAUGAAUCGGCGACCUAAUACAAUUAUUAUCAUGCAUUUUAAAAGAUGAACAAUUAUCGUCUUAACGGCGUCUAAAGUAUGUAAGAUACCCGUAUAGGCUCCAGAUCUUUGGUUUAACGUUUAUUCGAAUAAACACAGUUA